GGAAAGAAAAGAUUUUGAAUCAGACCUCAAGAUCCACUAAAGGCAGAAGCUGCUGAAACCAGAGGAGGGGGCAGAGCUCUCGGAUCAAUAGCCCCAGAAAUAAAAAGAGACAGAGAAGAAUUUAACUCCCCAUCUCCACUCGGGCUGAUCGAUACCCUAAUUAAGCACUUUGCAAGCAGCAUCUUUCCUAGAGGGACCUACCAGCGGGCACCUCUCUCAUGUCUGCCUGGUACUGAGCUCAUGCCGGCUGGAGACAUUUGACGGGCAGCUGGGGGCAACUGGAAGACCCCAAAAAGCCACACAGGACAGACUACGCUUGGGUGACAUCUCUAGGGACUGACCAUCAAGAAGAUCUACUGUUGGGUGGUGAGAGUCUGUUCCUUCUCUGCUCCCCUUCCCCUGUGCCCACCUCGCCCCAAUGAAGGAACCAGAUGCCAUCAAACUUUUCAUUGGACAGAUCCCCAGGAACCUUGAUGAGAAGGACCUCAAGCCAAUCUUUGAGCAGUUUGGGAAAAUUUAUGAACUUACAGUCAUUAAAGACAAAUUUACAGGGAUGCACAAAGGAUGUGCGUUCCUAACCUAUUGCGCCCGAGAGUCUGCACUAAAGGCACAGAGCGCCCUUCACGAACAGAAGACCCUACCAGGGAUGAACAGACCAAUUCAGGUGAAACCGGCAGACAGCGAGAGCAGAGGAGAGGACCGCAAGCUGUUUGUUGGUAUGCUGGGGAAGCAGCAGACAGAUGAAGACGUACGGAGGAUGUUUGAAACCUUUGGAAACAUAGAUGAGUGCACAGUCCUGCGGGGCCCAGACGGCACAAGCAAAGGAUGUGCAUUUGUGAAGUUCCAGACACACACAGAAGCUCAGGCUGCCAUCAACACGUUACACGGGAGCCGGACAUUACCGGGGGCCUCCUCCAGUCUAGUAGUAAAGUUUGCAGACACGGAGAAGGAGAGAGGACUGAGGAGGAUGCAGCAAGUGGCCAAUCAGCUGGGGAUGUUCAGUCCCAUCGCUCUCCAGUUUGGCGCAUACAGCGCGUACACACAGGCAGUAAGUGACCAGCUCAUGCAGCAGCAGGCUGCCCUGGUGGCCGCACAAAGCGCUUACCUCAAUCCCAUGGCCACCAUGGCCGCUGUUCAGAUGCAGCAAAUGGCGACAAUCAACCCCAACGGGAUCAUUGCCACACCCAUCACCCAAAUUAACUCAAUCACUUCUUCUUCAGGUACCAGUACUCCACCAACACUCACUGCCACUCCAGUAUCUGCCAUCCCUGCAACACUGGGAGUCAACGGCUACAGUGCUGUACCCACACAGAGCACGGUACAGCCCAGCUCCGAGGCAAUCUACACCAAUGGGCUGCACCCGUAUCCAGCCCAAAGUCCAGUGGCCCAGUUGGAUCCUCUACAACAAGCCUACGCCGGCAUGCAGCACUACACAGCCGCCUACCCUGCUGCUUACGGACUGGUCAGCCCAGCAUUUACUCAGCCCCCUGCGAUACUGACACAGCAGCCCCCACAGCAGCAGCAACAGAGAGAGGGUCCCGAGGGCUGCAACAUCUUUAUCUACCACCUGCCACAGGAAUUCACAGACUCCGAGAUCCUCCAGAUGUUCCUGCCGUUUGGGAAUGUCAUUUCUGCCAAAGUGUUUGUAGACCGCGCCACCAAUCAGAGCAAAUGUUUUGGUUUUGUAAGUUUUGACAAUCCAGGCAGCGCCCAGGCUGCUAUCCAGUCAAUGAAUGGAUUCCAGAUUGGAAUGAAAAGACUGAAAGUGCAACUCAAGCGACCAAAAGAUGCCAACAGGCCGUACUGAGGCGUUCAGGGUCCAAUCAAUCAUGAGAUGACUCUGUCGCUAUGACGUAACCCUAACGUCCAUUGGCUGCCCUGGGACAAGUAGCACCGCCCCUUGGUGUGUAUAUGUUUUGGGGUGCAAGGGGAUCCUGGUUCCAGCCCCUUCUACUUUCUACUAUCUCAUGACACCACAGAACGGAUUCCAAACUUUUUACUGCUGCUGGACCAAGGAGAACAUUUUCUUCAGGGGAAAUUGCAAACUGCUAAACCUGGUGGUUGCCUAACUAUUAACCAGCAAGGACCUUCAAACAUAUCCAUUCCUCCCGAGAUGCAGGAGAACAUUCCAAGCUCUCUGUACAUCUUAAUAAAAUGCCAUGAGAGAUUAGAAAAAUUAAAUCCUCACAGACAAGUGGGUUUCUUUUCACGUGGCGACUCACAACCAAAAUCCGGAAAGUUGAAGACAAUGAUUCAGGCUUCUGGUCGUAAAAGUUCAGGCACAGGUUAUUUACACAUUUUUUGUGGGCCAGGUAACGCGCUUCGCUUAUGGUAAAUUUCUCUUCACAGGAGUUGGGCAGACCAGAAGUUGAGAUAUUUUUUCCAUAUUUCAAAGGCAAGAGUUUAAGCUUCAUAUUCACAGGGAUGGGCUGUAUAUUUCUUCAGAAUUGGGGUGCGGGGGAGCAUAGCGCACACAAGAGAGCCCCUAGCUAUUUAUUCAGAAACGUCCUGGCAGCCAAGGCUGCUGUGUAAAUAGGAUAUAGGCGAUAGGAUGGAGGGUACGGGAUUUAGUGUGCAAUAUCUUCUUAUCCCAACGUUCUCAUUAUAAAAAUUAAAGUACAAUACUCCUGGCCUUGAUGGUCAUCCAGAAGCCUAGCUUUAUCCAACGCCCACUUUUUUAGUAGAUACAGGUCAGUGCACCCAGCGGAGGAGUAUAUGUGAACCAAUACGAACACCCAGUAAAAAAUAUUGUCCUCCUAUAGAACCAUAGAGGGACUUUUUUUUUUUUAAAUCGGGUGCUCCUGGAGAGCAUAAACCUUCCUACAGAGAUUGCUGCCAAAUAAUAAUAGAUACUACUGCAGAGCAUUGCACUGCACAACUUCCUUUAGGAAGCUUCUGAAAAGCAUUGCGUCUCAUGUAGGGCACAGCUGGCAAACAGCACACCACUUCUUUUCUAAUGCUCUGCAGGGUUAUCCUGUCUCUGCCAUAUACCCUGGAAGUGAUAAUCACAUGGGGGUUCAUUUACAGCAGAAUGCUGACUUCAGAUGCACUUGAGAUAUUUAUAAUGCCGGGAUGUCAUUGCACUACAUGGAAAAUGCAUCUGGCGUACAAGGGGUAAAACCCUAAUCUGGGGAAGGCUAAUGAUUGACUGUAGAAGGGCACUGCCCUUACUUCUCAGUUCCCCAUAGGGUUUUUUUUUGUUUGUUAGGGGGUCAGAGGUCAUAGCCGAAGAGUUGCCGAUAUCCGCGCCGAAGGAUUACACAUGUUUACAGUCUCCCGGAAUUGUACAUAAUUUUGUUCACAAUGAGAGAAAACAAAACAAAAAAAAAAGAACUCUGCCAUUUUAUCGUAAAAACUCUAGAAAUUUCAUUUUGUUUUUCUUCCUUUGGUUAAGGGGAGCAGGUAUGCAGGGAAAGGGUAUUUUAAUAUAAUAUAAACAGGUGGGGGGCUGGGGUUAUAAAUGACCAAUUCCCUACGAUUAUAUAAUGCUUAACUUAUUUCUUAUUUAUUGCAGUUUAUUUGGAUUUAAUUUUUUUCUGUCUAAAUAAAAUAAAUUUGAUGAAGAA